rnacentral:rRNA from 1 species
UACGUAGGGGCCUAGCGUUGUCCGGAUUUAUUGGGCGUAAAGAGCUCGUAGGCGGUUCGGCAAGUCAGCUGUGAAAUCUCCACGCUUAACGUGGAGGGGUCAGCUGAUACUGCCGUGACUCGAGUCCGGUAGGGGAGUGUGGAAUUCCCGGUGUAGCAGUGAAAUGCGUAGAUAUCAGGAGGAACACCGGUGGCGAAGGCGGGUCUCUGGGCCGAUAUUGACGCUGAGGAGCGAAAGCGUGGGGAGCAAACAGG